rnacentral:ncRNA from 1 species
CCCCGAUAAAGGCAAAACCGGCGAAAGCCGGCGACGCAAAGCUAAAGGGCCUAAACCGCCAAAAGCGGCAUGGCAGCCAGCUACCGAA